rnacentral:rRNA from 1 species
AGCAGUAGCCGCGGGAAUACGAAGGGGGCUAGCGUUGUUCGGAUUUACUGGGCGUAAAGCGCACGUAGGCGGACUUUUAAGUCAGGGGUGAAAUCCCGGGGCUCAACCCCGGAACUGCCUUUGAUACUGGGAGUCUUGAGUUCGAGAGAGGUGAGUGGAAUUGCGAGUGUAGAGGUGAAAUUCGUAGAUAUUCGCAGGAACACCAGUGGCGAAGGCGGCUCACUGGCUCGAUACUGACGCUGAGGUGCGAAAGCGUGGGGAGCAAACAGGAUUAGAGACCCCGGUAGUCCCUGUCUCUUAUAC